UGAAAGACAACGACGGGGAGGCAGAAGAACAGCACGAGGAAAUCCCAGAAAGCCAGUCCGGCUAGGAUACAGUUCCACGCGCUCUUCAGAUCUUCUUCAGUCAGGUGACCUCUGUCUGUCAUGUAUGAGCAGUUGCUGGUAGCAAUGAGUUUAUCCUCAGUGGUCUGGAGGCUGCAUCACAACCAGAAUCCAUCCAUCCCAGGGACAAGCUAGUAACUAUGACAACAUGAAGGGAUGAUAAUAAACUGUCCCUUGCAGACUAUGAUGGUCUGGUUUCCGGUAAUCCCAACUUUUUUCAGAUAAUUAAAUUAGUUUAUUAGUUUUAACAUGACAUAGCAGGACAGAGAGCGAGCUACCAGCAGUCUUACUGACAGUAAACACCAAUCCACCUUUUUUCUUUUGUUUCUGCACUUUGUAACGUGUGUUUCUGUGAAGAAAAAACAAUCUGCAUCAAGUCCUGCACCCAGAAGAGGGGGACUCUUAUUGAAAUGAAUGCGUCACGUUCCCAUCAAC